rnacentral:rRNA from 1 species
GGAUCCUACGGGACGCAGCAGUGGGGAAUAUUGCACAAUGGGGGAAACCCUGAUGCAGCGACGCCGCGUGAGUGAAGAAGUAUUUCGGUAUGUAAAGCUCUAUCAGCAGGGAAGAAAAUGACGGUACCUGACUAAGAAGCCCCGGCUAACUACGUGCCAGCAGCCGCGGUAAUACGUAGGGGGCAAGCGUUAUCCGGAUUUACUGGGUGUAAAGGGAGCGUAGACGGCAGAGCAAGUCUGAAGUGCAAGCCCGCGGCCCAACUGCGGACCUGCUUUGGAAACUGC